GUCCUUGGGAGGAGCGUGGGGGACUGAGAUGGGGGAGGGGUCAUUGGAAUGAUGCGGGCGCUACUUGGCAUUGUCCAUUGUGAGGCACCACCGGGGUCAUCAGGGAUUGGUGGAGAGGGAGUAUAAAGCCCCAGGGUUGCUAAGGGAGGGCCCAGACCGAAGAAGGUUUGGUGGAAAGGAGAACCUUUGUCUCCUUCUAAUUGCUCCUAAGCCUCACGCUCCCUUGCCCUGCGUGUCCUGUUGCUUCCCUGAUCUUCUACGUGACCUGUAGCUAAACCUUCCACCAGCGCUUGAGAACUUAAUUUGAACUGGAUCCUUUCCCAGACCGCUUUCUUCUCCUCCUCCUCC
rnacentral:lncRNA from 1 species